CCCCCCCCCUCUUGGGUUGCAUAGCUGGACAACACAUAGCCUUAUGGAUAUCACAAUAAACUAUAGUAUUUUUAGUUAAGUCAGAUCCUUCAUUUUUAUUCAGUCAUAUCUGAAAAAUACUACUCUUGUGGAUAUCACAACAAAGCAACAUAUUCCAAUAUAUCGUAAAGCAUAUAAUAUGCACCAAGACAAACCCACAUCAAUCUCCAUAGCAAGCCUUGUGGAUAUCACAACAAACCUACUAUGAUUUUUGAUAGGGUAUUGACUAAGCAUGAAGGAAGGUAUGUGUAGUAUUUAAAAUACUGAGCUACCUUUAUUCAAGAUUCAAAUUAAUCCAAAUGGCAAGAAAUAUAUUAAGAUUGGUGGGGGUCCCCUCGUUGCUUUUCUUAGACACCAAUAAAAUUAGCCAGGCC
rnacentral:lncRNA from 1 species